AUUCCAGCUCCAAUAGCGUAUAUUAAAGUUGUUGCAGUUAAAAAGCUCGUAGUCUGACCGUUGUCCUGGCAUUGAGCGUCCGUGGUUACUGAUCAUGUGUACGCGAGGUGCUGGACACUACCUUCGGAGGAGCGUUCGUGCUUUUAACUAAGUGCGUGCGGGAUUCCGAUAGUUUACUUUGAGAAAAAUAGAGUGUUCAAAGCAGGCGUUUGCCUUGAAUACAUUAGCAUGGGAUAAUGAAAUAGGACGUUGGUUCUAUUUUGAUGGUUUACGGACCGACGUAAUGAUUAAUAGGGACAGUUGGGGACAUUUAUAUUCCAUGGCUAGAGGUGAAAUUCUUGGAUUCAUGGAAGAUAAACUACUGCGAAAGCAUUUGUCAAAGAUGUUUUCAUCG
rnacentral:rRNA from 1 species